GAGAGAGUUCAAGAGUACGUGAAACUGCUCAGAGGGAAACGGGUGGGCCCUCGAAGUCCGGCGGCGGGAGGAUUCAGUCGGGAGGCUCGGACGACGGCCGGGCGCGGUGCCACGUCGCCCCCCCACCGGGGCGGAGGCCGCGCCACUCGGAGACGUCGCCUUCGGGUCUUCCGGCGCAUUUCUUUCCCGUCCGGAGGACGCCGCCACCGGUCGGGCGGCGGCCGUCGGGACGGGAGCUGGCAGGGGACCGGAGGCCCUCGGGCUUCCGGCCUUUGGCCUUCUCGUCCGGGCGCGCCGCCCGACCGAGAUCGAAUCGAGACCCCCUGCGGGUCCGGCCGCCUCCAUUCCGCCCCGCGGGAGCGGACGCCGUGGCAGAACAGCCCCCGCCCCUCGGUCGCACGGGAAGAACCCGUGGACGCGAGGCGGCGCGACUUGGGAAGGGCUUCGCUGGCCUCGGACUUUUCCGCGGGAGGUGGCGGUGGGCGGCGAGUAGGUCGGCAACCCACCCGACCCGUCUUGAAACACGGACCAAGGAGUCUAACAUGCGUGCGAGUCAAUGGGUCUCGAACAAGCCCAAAGGCGGAGCGAAAGCGAAUUGCGGGAGCCCUCCCGCAGAGAGUCGGGAUCCCUCUCCCCGCGCAGGAGGGGGCGCACCGACGGCCCGCCGGAACCGUUCGCGGUCCGGCGGAGUCCGAGCACGCACGUUGGUACCCGAAAGAUGGUGAACUAUGCCCGGGCGGGACGAAGCCAGAGGAAACUCUGGUGGAGGUCCGCA
rnacentral:rRNA from 1 species